CAGGAGGAUUGCUAUGAGUUUUAGGCCAGCCUGUGCUACUCAGUUCAUGGUAGUCUGGACAGGGACUGAUUGAGACCCUGACUCAAAACAAAUACAUUGUUUUAAAAAGAAGGAAAAUUCUGAUAUAGAACAGGGACCUCAGAGUGGGCAGACUUGGAGUUACGGCCUAAGGUAGGGGAAAUUGAAUAAUAACCCCUUACACUUACACUGCACUUUGCAAGUGCCCUGUGAGGAAGGAAGACAGUGAUUGGCAACCUCUUCCUGUGGCUGCUCUGAGACAUAUGGAUGACCCAGAGCCACAGAAUUAGCGGGUGGCUUAAACUGAACUCAGACGCUUGAGUGCAUCUCUCAGGAUCUAACUCCAGGUGCUGGUCCACACCGCUGCUUGUGAAGCCUAGCAGUGGUCUGCUUUUGAUAUUACGUGAACUGCCCAUUAAAAGCCACAUGUAUGAGGACUUCCCGCUACUGAUUAUCCUAAAUGAAAAUGGAAGGCACCCAUCAUCCCCAUCAGAAAUCUGGCAGAUGCUGGCAGGAAGUACACGUGGUUUCUGAGAUUGACUUUUCCCUCUUGAAAAGCCUUGUGUGAACAUAGAACUCAGGGCCUUGCAUAUAGAAGAAAGCAUUCUACCACAUCCUCAACACUUGAGAUAGGUUUUCUUCUUCAAUAGCACAUAUUGAUUUUUCACUGAGGUUGGGGAAAAAGCAAUGGGGUUUGUAUGUGUUUUGCUUUUGUUCUGUUUUUAAUUUUGAAAUCCAAGAUGGGUCUUGCUUUUAGAUCACACUGCACUAAUGAGGAGCUCUGUACCUGUAGAUUCGGCCUGGCCAGCAAUUAUCUACACACCAUACCCGGUGCUAAGGGCUCUCUCCUCUGAACAGCCCCUCACUGCUCUCACCUGCCUCGCUCCAGCAUUUCUCCAUCUGCCCUGCCUUCAGCAUCCCUUCCUCUCAAUGUCCGCUGAAUGUCUGGUUCAAGGAGAGUGCAUUUGCUCCCAGCUUAACAAGGCUCAAGCAGCCUGCAGCCCAGAGCUGGGAGUGGGCACCUUUUGCCUCUGAACUACAGCCAUGCAGUGUGCAAGUCCCCGUAGCAAACACCACCUUUCCCUGGGAAGGCAGCCAAGGCCUGGAGCCCUGGGUAGGAAAUCCCCUGUGAGAGGCCCUUCCUGAGCGCCACAGAAAAUGGUCCUUUUCAUACACUCUGAGUCUCCUUCCUUUAGAGCUGUAAAUGUCCACAUCACAUCCCCCUUCCACCCUUCUCCACCCCAUUCACAUGCCAAGUGCCCCCACCCAAGCGCCUCAGGGCUCACAGAUCCCCUUUUCCUUCCCUCCACACUUAUAUGGCAUCUUCAUUCUGAGAAGGCUGCCCCCCUUGCCCAGCCUUGCUGUUGUUAUCUCUCCAGGCAGGCGGGCUCUGGUGCCUCUAACCUGAAGCCUCCCUGUGCUGUAACCUACCAACUCUAGAGGCUACUCGGGUCGAACAGAAACGAUUUGUUGAUUUUUGUGAGAUUAGAAAGGAGAACAAAUUCCAUAGAUGUCUCUACCCCGAAAUCUCAAAGUUCAACUCUCAGACAUGUAAGCAGGAGCCCCAGGGGACUGUGGGAAAGAAUCACAGCAGUGACGGACGGACACUGUCUGUGAAGCUGUCACUGACAGACAGUGAUUACCUAAACCCUGCCCAUGAGGUUCUGCAUUCGGCAACUAGGUAACUAUUAGUAGCGCUAUUUUGGAAGCCCAGGGGUAUUAACUAAGGCGAUAGGUUAGUGAGACAGGCUGAGCGUUCCCCAGGGGAUGAAGGUCUGCACUACUGUUCAUGGUUUCUGGCCUGAAGUGACAGGAAACCUGAAUUCCAGGCCCGUUCUGUCACCCUUCAAGCCAAUAACUCGAGUCCAGCCCUUCUUUCCCCAAGCCUCCAUUUCCUCAUCAGUAAAGCAACAGGAUUUGAAAUGCUCUUUUAGAGUCCUCUCCAUAGCUAUGAUGCUUUGUCCUAGUGGGAAAAGUGCUCAGAACAAUGUUUGAUGUUUCUGGACUCAGGACCCAUCACUAGCAAAGGGAUAAAAGAAGCAAAUGGCUCUUUGGUUGGUCCUAAAGUUUCCCAUUUGUGCAAUAUAUCUGUCCAGAUCAAGUCCUUAAGGAGGGCCUGGUUGACCCUCUGCAUCCCAUCAGAGUCUCAAGGCAGGGACAAAGAGAGCUUGUCUAGCAGGAACAGACAAAGCACAUGGGGCCCUGCACAUCAGGAUGAACAAACGUGAAAUCCUCAAUAAAAGCAAGCCACCCUCGCAGAUAGCAGCAGCCACUGAAGCUGAUGAAGAUCAGGCUAUGUCCCACUGGUUCCUCGAG
ensembl:lncRNA